rnacentral:rRNA from 1 species
UACGUAGGGUGCGAGCGUUAAUCGGAAUUACUGGGCGUAAAGCGUGCGCAGGCGGUUCGCUAAGACCGAUGUGAAAUCCCCGGGCUCAACCUGGGAAUGGCAUUGGUGACUGCACGGCUAGAGUGUGUCAGAGGGGGGUAGAAUUCCACGUGUAGCAGUGAAAUGCGUAGAGAUGUGGAGGAAUACCGAUGGCGAAGGCAGCCCCCUGGGAUAACACUGACGCUCAUGCACGAAAGCGUGGGGAGCAAACAGG